ensembl:rRNA 5S_rRNA 5S ribosomal RNA
GCUUACGGCCAUACAAGCCUGGGUACCCCCGAGCUUGUCUGAUCUCGGAAGCUAAGCAGGGUCGGGCCUGGUUAGUACUUGGAUUGGAGACUGCCUGGGAAUACCAGGUGCUGUAAGCA